rnacentral:lncRNA from 1 species
UACAACAAAGAUAUUAUAACAAAUUAAAAUUACAACAAAACAAUACAAGUAAAAACCAUAUUAAUCACUAAAGGAAAUUAAAACGAAAGCUAAGGCAUGAUAAAAAUGACAAAGCAUUAAAUUUCCAAUGAACCCAUCAUACUCCAAAAAAAAAGUGAGAAUAAUGAAAGGGUAGAAAUUGACCUCAAAAUAAAGUAAUUUUGAAUCUGAAAUGUUGAACAUCGAAAAAUUUGGACUGCGGUAAACUUGAUGGAACAACAAAUCUACCUAAAAAUAUCGAACGGACAACCUCAAUGUACAAUUGGACAAAGGACCUCGCGGAUCUUGAUGGGGGUUUAAACUCAAUCAAACUCCAUCCAUUUUGAAACAAGACUCGAAAUUGAAGUGAAGGAGCAAAAUAGUUAUUUUUUCUUUUAUGUGUAUAUUUUUUGUCUUGAAUCCGAAAAUUAGAAAAAUAACAGAAAAAUCAAACCCAAACAAAAAAUUCCUAAGUAUCUUUUAUUCCUUUCUUUUUUCGAAAUCAUCUGCUCUCGUCGUCUUAACUUCUCUGCUUUUUCAAAAAAAAUUUGUGCGUGUGAGGUGUUCGAAGAUGAGAGUGAGAAUGGUCGCCAACGGCUGCUGGGUGUGUGGAUGAAGAUGGGGAAAUGGUGUUAGGGUUUGGGAUAUGUUAUGUCUGAAGGAGAUAAGUGGAGAUAGGG